rnacentral:rRNA from 1 species
AGCGAACGCUUGCGGCGGGCUUAACACAUGCAAGUCGAACGAGAAUCCCUUCGGGGAGGAAAGUGGCGCACGGGUGCGUAACACGUGGAUAACCAACCCAUUGGUUUGGGACAACACCGGGAAACUGGUGCUAAUACCAGAUGUGUCGCAGCUGUCUUCAGGCGGUUGCGAGAAAGGCCCGCAAGGGUCGCCAACGGACGGGUCCGCGUCCCAUCAGCUAGUUGGUGAGGUAAUGGCUCACCAAGGCAAAGACGGGUAGCUGGUCUGAGAGGAUGAUCAGCCACACUGGAACUGAGACACGGUCCAGACUCCUACGGGAGGCAGCAGUGGGGAAUAUUGCGCAAUGGGCGAAAGCCUGACGCAGCCACGCCGCGUGAGCGAUGAAGGUCUUCGGAUCGUAAAGCUCUGUGGGGGGAGAAGAAGAAAGCCGGUGAAGAGCCGGCCCUGACGGUAUCCCCUUAGCAAGCACCGGCUAACUCCGUGCCAGCAGCCGCGGU